AGAAGCACCGGCUAACUCCGUGCCAGCAGCCGCGGUAAUACGGAGGGUGCGAGCGUUAAUCGGAAUUACUGGGCGUAAAGCGCAUGCAGGUGGUUUGUUAAGUCAGAUGUGAAAGCCCGGGGCUCAACCUCGGAACUGCAUUUGAAACUGGCAGACUAGAGUACUGUAGAGGGGGGUAGAAUUUCAGGUGUAGCGGUGAAAUGCGUAGAGAUCUGAAGGAAUACCGGUGGCGAAGGCGGCCCCCUGGACAGAUACUGACACUCAGAUGCGAAAGCGUGGGGAGCAAACAGGAUUAGAUACCCUGGUAGUCCACGCUGUAAACGAUGUCUACUUGGAGGUUGUGGCCUUGAGCCGUGGCUUUCGGAGCUAACGCGUUAAGUAGACCGCCUGGGGAGUACGGUCGCAAGAUUAAAACUCAAAUGAAUUGACGGGGGCCCGCACAAGCGGUGGAGCAUGUGGUUUAAUUCGAUGCAACGCGAAGAACCUUACCUACUCUUGACAUCCAGAGAAUCUAGCGGAGACGCUGGAGUGCCUUCGGGAACUCUGAGACAGGUGCUGCAUGGCUGUCGUCAGCUCGUGUUGUGAAAUGUUGGGUUAAGUCCCGCAACGAGCGCAACCCUUAUCCUUGUUUGCCAGCGAGUAAUGUCGGGAACUCCAGGGAGACUGCCGGUGAUAAACCGGAGGAAGGUGGGGACGACGUCAAGUCAUCAUGGCCCUUACGAGUAGGGCUACACACGUGCUACAAUGGCGCAUACAGAGGGCGGCCAACUUGCGAAAGUGAGCGAAUCCCAAAAAGUGCGUCGUAGUCCGGAUUGGAGUCUGCAACUCGACUCCAUGAAGUCGGAAUCGCUAGUAAUCGUGGAUCAGAAUGCCACGGUGAAUACGUUCCCGGGCCUUGUACACACCGCCCGUCACACCAUGGGAGUGGGCUGCAAAAGAAGUGGGUAGUUUAACCUUCGGGAGGACGCUCACCACUUUGUGGUUCAUGACUGGGGUGAAGUCGUAACAAGGUAGCGCUAGGGGAACCUGGCGCUGGAUCACCUCCUUAUACGAUGAU
rnacentral:rRNA from 1 species